rnacentral:tRNA from 1 species
GGUGUGUUGGCUCAGUCAGUAGAGCGUCUGCCUCACAAUCGGGAGGUCAUGGGUUUGAACCCCGGUUGCAUCA